rnacentral:SRP_RNA from 1 species
GCCGGUGCAGUGCUCGUGCCGUAGUCCCAGCUACUCAGGAGGCUAAGGUGGGGGAUCACUUGAGCCAGGAGCUCUAGGCUGUAGUGCGCUAUAGCCGAUCGGGUGUCGCACUAAGUUCAGCAUCAAUAUAGUGACCUCCCAGGGUGGGCGACCACCAGGUUGCUAAGGAGGGGUGAACCAGCCCAGGUCUGAAAUGGGAGCAGGUCAAAACUCCCGUGCUGAUCAGGAAUCACGCCUGUGAAUAGCCACUGAACUCCAGCCUGGCAACAUAGUGAGAUCCCGUCUCU